GACGAACGCUGGCGGCGUGCUUAACACAUGCAAGUCGAACGCUGAAGCUUGGUGCUUGCACUGGGUGGAUGAGUGGCGAACGGGUGAGUAAUACGUGAGUAACCUGCCCUUGACUCUGGGAUAAGCCUGGGAAACUGGGUCUAAUACUGGAUACGACAUGUCACCGCAUGGUGGCGUGUGGAAAGGGUUUUACUGGUUUUGGAUGGGCUCACGGCCUAUCAGCUUGUUGGUGGGGUAAUGGCUCACCAAGGCGGCGACGGGUAGCCGGCCUGAGAGGGUGACCGGCCACACUGGGACUGAGACACGGCCCAGACUCCUACGGGAGGCAGCAGUGGGGAAUAUUGCACAAUGGGCGAAAGCCUGAUGCAGCGACGCCGCGUGAGGGAUGACGGCCUUCGGGUUGUAAACCUCUUUCAGCACGGAAGAAGCGAAAGUGACGGUACGUGCAGAAGAAGCGCCGGCUAACUACGUG
rnacentral:rRNA from 1 species